rnacentral:rRNA from 1 species
UACGUAGGGUGCAAGCGUUGUCCGGAAUCAUUGGGCGUAAAGCGCGCGUAGGUGGCUUCGUAAGUCCGUUGUGAAAGUCAAAGGCUCAACCUUUGAAAGCCGAUGGAUACUGCGGAGCUAGAGUACGGAAGAGGCGAGUGGAAUUCCUGGUGUAGCGGUGGAAUGCGCAGAUAUCAGGAGGAACACCAAUAGCGAAGGCAGCUCUCUGGGUCCCUACCGACGCUGGGGUGCGAAAGCAUGGGGAGCGAACAGG